GUACUUAAGCGAUUAAAUUUAUUGGUUAGCAUUACUUAGGAAAAAAAGAAUGCAAAUGGUUACCUCUUUUACAACGUGAAGUUAAUUAUUUAAUAUAAAUAUAAACAUAAUAUAAAUAUUAAGAUUUGGUUUUAAAAAAAGGUGCUUUGUUUCUCUUUCCUAAACAAAAUUAGAGCACUGAAACUAUGAUACUUCAAUUAAAAUGGUUUUGCAAUAAUUAUCAGGAUAAGUAAAACUAUUGAAGGGAAAUCAAUUGCCCCAAGUUACCAUAAUUUUCACUUUUACUUGAUGCAGAGUUUUUAUAGGAGUAAUUCAUUCUUCCAGUUUAAAAUUAAGCUGGAAUUAACUUAGAGUUAAUUUGGAAGAAAUUCCAUUUUGGAAAAAAAACAAAUACACCGAGAUAUUAACUGUUGUUAUUUCUGGGAUUGGAGAUGGUGUAUGAAUCUUGCUUUCUUUUUGAUUCUGCAUUUUCCAAGUUUUGUAUAAUAAGGUUGUGUUUCUUCAGCAACUGAAUCGUUUUAGAGAGUUAUUUUAAACUAAUCAACAGGACAUCAUGUUUUCCUUGUGUUUAGAAAAAAGGUCGAUUGCAUACAAGAUUAAAUUUGAAAAUUCAUUUUCAUUCAGUAAACUCUCUAACUUCAGAAAACAGACAAAGACACCAGCGAGAAAACGAAGUCAUAUGAAGCAUAACCUUUGCCGGCUGCAGAAGUCGCACCUGGUUUUUCUGGGCUGGAGGAGGCCCGCCUCCCCGCGUCCUUCAAAGCCGCAGGCCUGGCUGCUGCAAGGGCCCAGGGAUCUUCCUCUUGCACCACAAAUGCCAUCGCUCCCAUCGCUAAAGGGAGCGAACUGAAGUGGGCCACCAGGGCAAGAGGUGAAUGGGGCUCAGGGUAGUGGAUUUGGGGAAGAGAAGGAAAGUUGAAUGGCAAGAGUCAGACACCUACGUAAAGACCUGGAAAGCUGCCAGCGCUGUGUCAGGUGGGGGACGCAAUGAGAACGCUGGUGUCUCACAGGGAAUACAAAUGCUUUCAGUAUGCAUUCUCCUUAUUCCUCAACAUGACCUCUUGGAGUCACUGCCAAGUCAGGAGGAGCAAGAGGUUCUAGGAUCCUUGUCGCCUUGUGCAUUCUUUUAUUUACUCGACGAACACUCGUGAGGACAUAGGAAUUCGACAGUGGUGUCCCCCCAGCCUGGAUGUGAUGUGGCCCUGUCUCCCCAUGGCUAAUAUGGCUAUUUCACAAGACUUCCUUAAGCGGAGUACUCUAUCGGGCUAUAGAGCGCUCGCGAUACGAAAGGUCACCUCAUUCUGAAACUAACCCAUCCGUUGAUGAGGAAGGUUAUGCCAUAAUUACGUAAAGUUGGAGGAGCAGCUGCAAAUGACACAGACCCCAGCCACAAGCUCUCACCCGAAUACCAUUGGUCAGGCCAUCGGUGAACAUUACAGAGCACCUACCAUUUGCCAGAUGUGUGCUAAGCACGAGGGGGAGUAGUGGCCGAAAGAAGCAUGGACCUUGAUGGUAAAUUGGACUUCACCAAUAGAGCAAAUGUAGACGUUCUACAUUCCACAUAAUUCAUAAUUAUUUUAAGCGGUUGAGUAGACAAUUUAAAGUAAAAAGAUGCUCCAAGCCACAAACACUAGGGGCUGUGAGAAGUCCAGAAAAAGGGACCUAACACUUUUUUGUAACAGGGGUGGGCAGGAAAGGCUACGUUGAGUUUCUUAAGCUCCCCUGGUCUGAGAAUCUCUGCGAAAUGAGGUUGUGGGACUCAAGCAAUAUCUCCCACAGAAUGUGGUCACCUGAGUUCUACAAAGUUGAGCUGGCUUCUUUACUGAGGGCCUUGUUGGUCUUUAGUGUGCAAAUACGCAUUAUGAAUGUCAAAGGGACUCUCUAGACUGAAGAAGUUCCCGAGCUCUUUGGGGAACGUUUUUGUGCAGAAUAUUUAUAGCAACUGGCAUUCUAAGGAAGGCCACUUAGAAAGUAUUUGAGUAGGUGUCUCAGGCCUCUGCCAGCUUUAAAAUUCAAUUAUUAUGUCUUCGAGCAUGUUGUAGGGAAAAAGCAACAGCAACAAAGGAAUCCAACAUUAAUGUGUAGCAAAGACCGGAUGGGUGGGCUCUGGGAGAUGGAAAUUGUGGCAGAAAAUCUAUGGAGGACUUCCUGACAGCCUAAACUCAGAUGGAAGGGAUAAUCGAGGCUUGGAUAUUCUUUAAAUAUAAAGUAUCUAAAAAAAAAAAAAAGGAAGAAAAAAAAUACAGCAAUGGCUAUGCACCCAGGGAACCGACAAAGAUUAUUUAAGGAGAUGUCAUGUGGAUACGCGUGACUUCGUGAUUAACAUGGGGAUUCAAAAAGGUACCACUUAUAAAAGGAAACUUCUGGGCUGAAGGAUGUCCAGAAGGACUCUCAGUAAACCAGGCUGACAUAAGUAGGAGGGAGACAGAGUGGUGCAUUCCGUUUUCACAGAAAAGCACAGGAAAAUAUCAGAGAGCCCUUUUGUGGCCGCCAGUGGCCCGUGGGUGUGCCUUGUCCCCCGGAGGUGGCUUCUAGUCUUACCUACUUCUUGCUGCUUGAACUUGGCUUCUUUUUUCUCGUAUUUGUGGCUUUUAUUACGGUGCAGGACCAGGAGUGGGGACUUUUUUUUUUUCUUGCCUCUUGUGAUUCUUCAGGUUUUAAAGCCCCCACGUAAAAGAUUCUUCUCACACGCCUUCGUCAUUAAAACUGCACAAACUCUUUGAA